UGGGAAUAGAGGGGGAUUAGCCAAGAGAUGGGACCUGUGUGCCCACACUUAAUGCCGAUAAUGGGACUCUUGGGGAACACAGUGGACAUCUAAGCCACUCUCUCCACCCCUCUCUUCUUCAUUUCUCUUUGGAGGUGACACUUCCUCUGGUUCUUUCCUCCUUAGGAAAGCAAGGGAGGGAGAAUACACCUGGAAUGGUGGGGUGUUGGUGCAUGCUCACGGUGCACUUCCCAGCUGCGUGACUUCAAGGGAUUUAUCAUCUUCACCACUCUUUUUCCUUGGGCAGGGGCUUCCUAUUUACUUACUUUUGAAAGUUUACUUUCGUAAAAUACAGAUAGCAUUUACUACCUGGGCCACAUUUCAAGAAUACAGUUGGGUAUUGCUUAGUACAUUCACACUGCUGCACAUCCGCUCUCUAGCACUCUUUCUGAACGACUGAACUCUAUACUCAUUAAACGAAAAUUCUCCAUUUAGGGAUUUUCUCUGUCUUGUCCAGAAGUAAAUUUCCAAUGCCUAGAACAGUUCCUGGCAUGUGGUAGAUGUUCAAAAUAUAUUUACUGAAGGGACGAAGAAGGCUCUCUCAACCUUAGAUACCCAAGGGGUUGUGGUAGGGAUUAAGAAAAUGAUAAACAUCUGGCCCUAGACUGCUCCAUAGUACAUGGCCCUGAAGUGUUAACAGCUUAGGAUCAUGUCAGGUGUGUGUUUGGCUAAGGCCCUCCAGACAGGCCUGUACUGGGCACUCGGUUAAGGCGUUCCCAGAUGUUUGCCAGGGUAUCCUCUGACUGCAAAGAGCAAAGAUGCCUCUCCAAGAUUCCUGGAGCAGUGGUUUUCCAGUCUGGCUUAUAUGGCCACUCUGCCUAUACUCCCCACCUAGUCCUUUUCCUACUUAAACAUCCUUAAAUGGACCAGCAUUUUGGCGACACGGAGUAGACAGCCUCCGCAGCAGAGCUCGCCUUGGAGGAGUCGCACGAGGAGCUCGGGUCCGGCCUGAGCUGCGAGCGCCCGGGUGCAGAGGGCGCGCCACUCCAGCGUCCAGGAUCGCUGACGUUCUGCCCUGAGGAAGGUGAGGCUAGGAUCUGACGCCGUGAGGCUAGAGGGAAUGCCUACUCGGUCCGGGGUGGAGCUGCCGCCCUGAGCCAGACCCCGAGGCUCUGCAGCGGAGGAAAGGAGCUGGCAUCUGGCUUUGAGUGGAGGACAUUAGGUGAUGGAGGAGAAGUGAGGCCUGGGAUUUAGGAGGCGGGGGAGCAGUGGGCAGAACAAGAAAGAAAAGAAAUGGGGCCGGGGCUGGAGAGAGAUGUGGAGCCAAAGAACGGGUAGAGAGUUAGGGAGGGGCUGUUUCCUUUGCUAGGUGUCCUCCGCAGUCCAGACCCUGAGCUGCUCAGCGCGGGCUCCCUCGUUAGCCCCGCUACUCGGCUAGCCCCACCCUUGUUAUUUCCCUAUUCCGAUCCUCUUUCCCAAUUGAGGGCCCCCUUCCCCCUCUCUUCUUUCCCAGCUCUCCCCUCCCCCAUCUGCCCGCCUUCCACCCAGUCCCCGCCCGCGGCACUGCGGUUUCUCUACCUUGGCGCCCCGCACCCAGCCCGCCGCGAGGUCACCGAGCUGAGAUCCCCUCUGGCUGUCCACCCUCCACCCUCUCGCCUAUUCCCUCGCCUCCCCACCCUUGAGAGCUGGGUAUGGGGUCCUCUGGGUGGAGAGCAGCGCCAAAGGUCGCACUUGGGGUCCUUCCCCAGGUUCUCCCGCGGCGCUGCAGCCGCGGACAACCGCCCGCCAGUGGGCGAAAGCCUGCGGGAGGCUUCCCUCAGAGGCGAGUCUUCAGAAAUCUCUGGGAAAACCGGCGCAUAAAGAGUGCAGAAGCCGGAUUUGCCACACUUCCGAGUUAUCUCCUCCCGAGCCUCCAGUGAGAUGUUUUGGGGUUGGAAUAUCCCGGGCCUUUCUCCAAGGAGGCCGAAGACAGAAGGAAUGUUGCCUUCCACCAAGCACGGUGCUCACAACAGACAUGGUCACACUACCUCUUCAACCCAUCCCACCUCCAUCUGGCUCCCUGGCUGGAGAUCUCUUUCAUGUGCGGCCGCUGCUAUGUGAUGCCAUCUGCCACAUUAUGAGGUAGCCAGAAAGCCCUUGCCAGAUGCUGACCAGAUGCAGCCCCAAACUUGGACUUUCAGCUUCUAACACUGAUGUGAGCAGAGCUACUUUCCCAUCUUUAGGGGAAAAAAUACAGGCAGAGAUCCUGCAGCUGUCUGAGGCCACCUCCACCACAAACUUCCUUAGUCAGCAGCACUGCUCCCAUCUUCAGCAACACUGGUCUGUAAAAACGCUGCUAUGAUGCCCUCGAUUCCUCCCUGGAAAGAGGCUGCUGGCCCCCAGUGCCCCUUGCCAGCUGGUUUCAGCCAACAGUGUUGCAGCACGUGGCACAACGUCCUGCAGCUACGCGGGCCUGCCGUGCCAAGUGCACUGUGUGGGACGGCGUUGGAGUUUCAGUUUCUCUGGUCAAGAGCGUGGGGAGCAACCCAAGAGCUCACAUGACGG